rnacentral:lncRNA from 1 species
CUAAUGCGAUGGAGGCGGACUGUUAAAUAUUCCAGCACAGUUUUCGGAUACGCAUUUGGUGAUGUGUAAUUUAAGGCAGAUUUCCAGCCACUUGCAGCGGAUAGGCUGAGACAAGCACAUCCACCGGAUGUCUGGGCCAGAAGAAAACCCGAUGCAGGUUCAGCCAUAGAAAGAGGCCGGGAAAGAGGGGGAGCGCGACUAGACGGAGAUGGAAAAGAGCUGCCAGGAACAGGAGCCGAAAUCGGUUUGUAAUUUGAAUUUGAUUUUGGCAAACAAUUUUCGGAAUGCGGAAAUUGAAAGCGCAUGCUGGGAAGCCGUUGCCUUUUCCACAGACAGCGAGCGACUUUGCCGUGGUUACGUAAUUACAAACGGAAGGCUGAUGGGUAAAUCCAACCAUCCACACCGACCAUCCAACCCUCCAUCUGCUACUUCUGUCGCUUCGCUCUCUUUCUCUUAAAAUAAACACACAGCAACAAGCGGC